CGAACGUCAAGGCAGCAGGAGCUAACGUUAGCGCUCCACCAAGAAAAAAAAAACACUUUAGAAAGUUCUGAUGACGAAACAGACAUUGAGAUGAAGCGACAAUAUGAAAAAGCAAAAAGACAAAAAAAAGUUGCAAAAGAGAGGAUCCUCACUCAGUUGAAGGAUACACUGAGGAAACCACUCCACUCCACUCCAUGCAGAACCAAUCCAUUACAUAGUGAGGAGGAAGUUGAAUCCGAAAUGGUGGACACAAAUGUGGAUUUGUUCAAUUACCCAGGGAAUUCUCAAUCAACCAGACAAAAAAAGGUUGGAAAGGAGAGGGUCCUCACUCAGCUGAAGGAUACACUGAGAAAACCACUCCACUCUGAUCCACGCAGAACCAACCCGUUACAUAGUGAGGAGGAAGUUCAAGCCGAAACCGUGGACACAAAUGUGGAUUUGUUCGAUUACCCAGAGAAUUUUCAACCAACCGAUACCUUAGAUGCUGCUGAGGCAAGUGGAGAGAGCGUGGAACAGCCAUUAUUUGUCAGUGGUGAAGUGUUGAAAGCUUUGAAAGAAAUUCCCACCUUAGUGCAGUGUGUCAAGGAACUAAUAUCCUCAAUGAACAGAGGGAUCGAUACAGCAAGCACAAGCUCAGGGUCCUCCAGCUCAGCCCAAGAGAUGACACUGUCAUAUCUGAGUUUCCGGGCACGUCACAGUCCGAGGUUAGAGCCGUAAUACGGCGAAAGUGCAAUAACGAAAGUUUUGUUUCA
ensembl:lncRNA